ACGCACGCUGGCGGCUUGCUUCACACAUGCAAGUCGCACGGAAAGGCCCUGCUUUUGUGGGGUGCUCGAGUGGCGAACGAGUGAGUAACACGUGAGUAACCUGCCCUUGACUUUGGGAUAACUUCAGGAAACUGGGGCUAAUACCGGAUAGGAGCUCCUGCUGCAUGGUGGGGGUUGGAAAGUUUCGGCGGUUGGGGAUGGACUCGCGGCUUAUCAGCUUGUUGGUGGGGUAGUGGCUUACCAAGGCUUUGACGGGUAGCCGGCCUGAGAGGGUGACCGGCCACAUUGGGACUGAGAUACGGCCCAGACUCCUACGGGAGGCAGCAGUGGGGAAUAUUGCACAAUGGGCGGAAGCCUGAUGCAGCAACGCCGCGUGCGGGAUGACGGCCUUCGGGUUGUAAACCGCUUUCGCCUGUGACGAAGCGUGAGUGACGGUAAUGGGUAAAGAAGCACCGGCUAACUACGUG
rnacentral:rRNA from 1 species